rnacentral:rRNA from 1 species
ACUAAAUAGAUACCCGGGUAGUCCACGCCCUAAACGAUGUCUACUAGUUGUUGGUGGAGUAAAAUCCAUGAGUAAACGCAGCUAAACGCGUGAAGUAGACCGCCUGGGGAGUACGGUCGCAAGAUUAAAACUCAAAGGAAUUGACGGGGGCCCGCACAAGCGGUGGAUUAUGUGGAUUAAUUCGAUGCAACGCGAAAAACCUUACCUGGCCUUGACAUGCCACUAACGAAGCAGAGAUGCAUUAGGUGCCCGUAAGGGAAAGUGGACACAGGUGCUGCAUGGCUGUCGUCAGCUCGUGUCGUGAGGUGUUGGGUUAAGUCCCGCAACGAGCGCAACCCUUGCCAUUAAUUGCCAUCAUUUAGUUGGGCACUUUAAUGGGACUGCCGGUGACAAACCGGAGGAAGGUGGGGAUGACGUCAAGUCCUCAUGGCCCUUAUGGCCAGGGCUUCACACGUAAUACAAUGGUCGGUACAGAGAGUUGCCAACCCGCGAGGGGAGCUAAUCUCAGAAAGCCGAUCGUAGUCCGGAUUGUUCUCUGC